UGCCAGCCGCCGCGGUAAUACGUAGGUGGCAAGCGUUGUCCGGAAUUAUUGGGCGUAAAGCGCGCGCAGGCGGUUCCUCAAGUCUGAUGUGAAAUCUCGCGGCUCAACCGCGAGCGGCCAUUGGAAACUGGGGAACUUGAGUGCAGGAGAGGGGAGCGGAAUUCCACGUGUAGCGGUGAAAUGCGUAGAGAUGUGGAGGAACACCAGUGGCGAAGGCGGCUCUCUGGCCUGUAACUGACGCUGAGGCGCGAAAGCGUGGGGAGCGAACAGGAUUAGAUA
rnacentral:rRNA from 1 species